ACGAACGCUGGCGGCGUGCUUAACACAUGCAAGUCGAACGGAAAGGCCCUGCUUUUGUGGGGUGCUCGAGCGGCGAACGGGUGAGUAACACGUGAGUAACCUGCCCUUGACUUUGGGAUAACUUCAGGAAACUGGGGCUAAUACCGGAUAGGAGCUCCUGCUGCCUGGUGGGGGUUGGAAAGUUUCGGCGGUUGGGGAUGGACUCGCGGCUUAUCAGCUUGUUGGUGGGGUAGUGGCUUACCAAGGCUUUGACGGGUAGCCGGCCUGAGAGGGUGACCGGCCACAUUGGGACUGAGAUACGGCCCAGACUCCUACGGGAGGCAGCAGUGGGGAAUAUUGCACAAUGGGCGGAAGCCUGAUGCAGCAACGCCGCGUGCGGGAUGACGGCCUUCGGGUUGUAAACCGCUUUCGCCUGUGACGAAGCGUGAGUGACGGUAAUGGGUAAAGAAGCACCGGCUAACUACGUG
rnacentral:rRNA from 1 species